CUUAGCUGUCAUCAUCUAUCCGCAAAAGCUGGAGGCCACACACACGCGCGCGGCACACCCACACGCCACGCAUGCCACUUGACUACUUGAGAUAUUUGCAACAACCAUAAAAGGAAGCUUUUCACAAAUACUACACUGGUAAUGUGUAUCUGGCACCCAAGUAUCCAACCAAUCAAUUGCGCUUUUCAUUUUCAGGCCACCUACAGGUUGAGGUUAGCAUGACUAGGUUAUUUUUCCUUUGCAAUUUUUUUUAUUGCGUUCCUACUGAAUACACAAAACAGAAAAAUGUGGUAAAAAGGUUCUUAACUCAGUGUUUAAUCACAGGCAACCUGUAGAUGCAAAAUGAGAACAAUUGAGACAUAACUAUUUCUUUGUUAUGCGUCCAUUGUAAAAAAAAAACAUGCUAUGUGCUUAAUCUGGAUGAUCAUGUCCUCACAUUGUUUUCCUCAAUCAUGGUUGCAUUAUAUUUUUUUAUUUUUCAUGCUUAAGGAAUUUUUUCCUCAAGUUCCCGCUGCAACGCGCGGGGUAUCUACUAGUUUAGAGAAUGGUUAUGUAGUUUUAAAAAGAGUCAUCCUAUACUUUUUUGAAAUACUCAUUCGCAACUUUUAAAAAUGUUAAUGCAAUUUUGAAAACCAUGUUUUUGAAAAGUAAAAGAGAAAAGGGAAAAUAAAAAAGUAUAUGAAGUUUGAAUCACACACGGGUUGAAGCUAUGCAAUGGGCCAAGCAACACUACACUGGCAGCCUGGAAUAUUUGGAAAGAGAGGAACAACUUAAUAUUUAAGCAAGUCGCACCUAUAAUCAGGACUUGGGCAGAAAGGACAAGGGUGAUUUGACUUGGCCCAAAUAUAUGAUUUCCCCAGAGCUUAGUGAUUAUAUCACUGUCUCUUUUUUCUUGAAAAUUGUAACUAACUAUUGAUCCUGAUUUAGCUCUCUCUAUAUGUUUUGUUUUUUUAAGGGAAUUCCUUUCCUCUUCCUUAUGUAAAUAUAACUAUCUGUGUUUUCUUAAUGUAGCAACAAUAGAAGCCUCUCCUGCUGUUUAAAGCUAAAAACAGGUAUAUGAAAAACAGGAAGAAAAGGAAAUAGUAAAAAAAUAAAAAGGAAAAACACACCAAAAACUCGCAAAAAAACAAGCCCACACUCUUACCCGCAAAAGUCGGGCAAGCAAAUCAGACCUAGCCGCAAAGAAACCUGGACAACGUGAUGUCCUUUACUAGCCCUGACCCAAGUCGGCGACUGUGUGCUAUAUGCCGCUACAAGCGGUAUUUCCCAUACGACGCUCACCACAUCAAUUUGGUGACUAAACGCACACUGGCAUGCGCACUGCGUUGACCCAUUUGCAGCUGACUUUCCCCUCAAAAAGUUUUUUUGCGGCUAACUAUUUUCCCUUUUUUACUAUUUCCUCUUCUUUUACUUGGUUUCUACAGCUUUUUUCUUCUUUCAUUUUUAUAUAUUUUUUCUUUUUUGUAACUUUCCUGUUUUACAUCUUAUAAUUUAUUACUAUCUUUCAAUAUCAUAAAGAUUUUUCAAACUCCAUGUAAAUUUCUAAAAUGCACUCAUAUCUUUAAUUUAACAUUUUCUUUCAUGGUUAUUUUUAUAAUUCUUGAAAACAAAAUUAUGUAUUUCUAAAAUAAUUUUCUUGCAUUAUAAGAAAAUAUUCAAGCAUUUGUUUAUCUUCCGGCAUUUCAAAAAAUAUUAAUACAAUGAGGAAAAACUAUAUUUUUGUAAAAGAAAAUUUAUGGAGAAACAAAAUCAUGUCAAAAUGAGGCAACCCAGAGAAAUAUAUUGGAAAAUCAAAAUUAUAAAAAAACAAUGAAAAAAGAAAAUAAAAGGGGACAAGUAGGAGGAGUGACGCCAGUGCUCCAGCUGCAUUAUCUGCCGCGGUAGCGGCAAAUAGGUGCCCCUGUUGUUGGCGGCAAAUACGACUCAGUUAACUCGCCUUCUAUUGUUCAGCCUAGGCUGUGUAGAAGCCAUACAACAGGCCCUGGUGUCACUUUUACUUAUGGUUAUUUUCCUAGUUCGAUUCUGCUGCUUGCGAUUCGAUCGACUGUCACACGACGACCUCAAGGCUCAUCCACGAGGUUUCAUUCAUUUCCAGUCACUUUUGUAGAUUCUAGUUUAGUUCAUCUUCUUGCAACGCCGUUAUUUUUUCUUUUAUUUCCCCAGAGGUCUGAAUCCUGAAAGCAGAAGUUCAUGGACCCAAAGUCCUAUAGUUUUGUUUU